rnacentral:rRNA from 1 species
GACGAACCGUGCGAACGUUGUUCGGAAUCACUGGGCUUAAAGGGCGCGUAGGCGGCGCCGCAAGUCGACUGUGAAAUCUCCGGGCUUAACCCGGAAAGGUCAGCCGAUACUGCGGGGCUAGAGUGCAGAAGGGGCAACUGGAAUUCUCGGUGUAGCGGUGAAAUGCGUAGAUAUCGAGAGGAACACCUGUGGCGAAGGCGGGUUGCUGGGCUGACACUGACGCUGAUGCGCGAAAGCUAGGGGAGCGAACGGG